ACCGCUGGCUACUGACUAGACACAAGUUGCAUUGAAAUUAUGAGCGAUGGCAUGGAGAAAUAUGUUCAAGAACAAGGCAUGAAGUAUAUCAAGAUAGCAGCAUUGAUACCGAACAUGACAGUAAGAGAUGUCGCAAUGAGGUGCCAGUGGGUAGGGAAGAAAGUCAAUACAAGACAAAGGAAGCCCCAAGAACACCAUAAUGGGAGAAAUACAAAAUAAAGCCCAUACAUGAGAUAGUUUUCUCCACAAUCGACAAGGCAAAGCUCCUUAGUCAGGUCAGCAAUUUUAUGUACCUUUUAGAUAAUCCUCGGGUUGGUACCAAGAUGUUACAACAUUUUUUAUCAGUAUACAAAGAUUUACCACUAAUGUUGUCAUGCUCGAGUUUUUAUAUUUGAUAUCAUGUAGUCCAAUUUGAGCACUGCUGGUUAAUUUCUAACUUGCUAAAGGAUAUUCUGCAGUCAAUAAUGUAUUCGAUUGUACACUUUACGUUGCACAUAAUUGGACCUUUUAUUCAUAGUAUGACAUCUAACUAAACACUUCUUGCCAGCUAUCUUCAUUGCUAUUUAAUAUCAGAGAAGUGCAUGUUUUCUCUAC